GACGAACGCUGGCGGCGUGCUUAACACAUGCAAGUCGAACGAGUGGCGAACGGGUGAGUAAUACGUGAGUAACCUGCCCUCUUUUUGGGAUAAGCCUUGGAAACGGGGUCUCAUACCGGAUCAAGGGGGAUGGGCUCGUGGCCUAUUAGCUUGGUGGUGGGGUGAUGGCCUAACAAGGCGUAGACGGGUAGCCGGGCUGAGAGGGUGCCCGGGAACAGAGGGACUGUGAUACGGCCCAGAGUACUACGGGGGGCAGCAGUGGGGGAUAUUGGCCAAUGGGCGAAAGACUGAUGCAGCGACGGCGCGUGGGGGAUGAAGGCUUUCGGGUUGUAAAGCUCUGUCGCAAUCGAAGGGGUAGGUGGAGAAGAAGCGCCGGCUAACUACGUGCCAGCAGCCGCGGUAAUUC
rnacentral:rRNA from 1 species